rnacentral:misc_RNA from 1 species
UUCAUGAUAUGGAGGUGUACUUCUAAUCACUUUUUCUGCUUUACAUUGAAAUUUACAUAAAUGGCUAGUUCAGUUGGUUCAAUUUGAACAUACUCUAUCCAAGUCAUCUCUACCUGUUUUUAUGUUUAGUUAAUUAUUGUGAACUGUGAUACAUAGUUACAUACUCUAGCGGAAAAUAGGCAUGACUGCUAAUUCUCUCAUGCUGCCAUAAAUGUAUGAUGUAAUAUUAUCCAUUCAAUGAGUGGUCUUUCUGGAAUAUGAGAUUAAUUUUUGGAGAGGUAGAUCUUAUCAUUAAUAACAAUAGCUGUUGAAGGUCACCAUUCAUGUGUAAAAUCAUAUGUUUUAUUGAAAACUUCUUUAAUGUUUGGUAAUUUACAUACUUUUGUCCAAUGAUCACUUUAUUCGUUCUCUUGCAAUUACAGUAACUGCCCCAUUAGCUUGCACAAGUGGAUUAAGUUGACAUAGUUUUGUAUAAAGCCGAGCAGAAUGCUGAUUAUUUAGUAUUCUCAUAGUCAGACAAGGAUAUAUAUAUUUUUUUCCUUUUGAAAAUUUUUAUGAUUAGGUACAUUCGAUACUUUGGCUUAAAUUCUGGCCAGUUGGUCUAGUUUUGUGAAGUUGCUCCUGUUCAACUUUGAUUUUAUGGGAUCAUAAAGGAUAGAGGAUAUUUCUGAAGUAAGUGUAGUGAAAUUGGUCUUGGAUUUUACUAAUGAUAUACAACCAUCGAUUUUUGCAUAAGAUAAUUACUUGGGAUUUGGCUUUUCUUUCUCUUUUAGAGAAGGUUAUUAGCGUGUCUUGAGACAGCAGCUGAUUAAGUGCAUCUUUAUCUCUGAUAAGAAAAUGGAUCAGACUUAACUCACUCUCAAAAGUUAGCUUAAGGUGGGAGGGGGGAUUGUCCAAAUUUUUAUAAGAGGCACAUUACCCACAUGUUUAACCAAUGUGGGAUAUUUCCAAGUAUUAGUAUUUAGCCCUCUUGGUUUAUUCCUGGUUGAUGUGGGACAUACCUCUCUCAUGCCCAACAAUGAAUAUCUGGAAAGUAAAGUUUGCACAAAAUUGAACAUCUGUGGGUGGCUCAAUAUCGAGACAAGGGUUAGCUCUGAUAUCAUGAUAAUAAAAUGAAUUGGGUCUAACUCACCCCUAAAAGCUAGCUCAAGUGGGAAGGGAGAGGAUUGCCCAAGUAUUUAUAAGGAGCACAUUGCCCACAUAUGGGAUACUUAACAAUCUCCUUCUCCACUAGUGUAACAUGAUUGUGGGAGUUCAGCUUGUUAAUGUUUUAGCGUUGCCAGGGAGUCGGGCUUUUGCUAAUCUCAUCCUUCGUAUGAGCUAUACACUUAUCUUGGUGAAAUUCAUGACAAUAAUUACGCCUGAAGCAAACUUAUGUCAUAGGUGCUUAACUGGUAUUAUACCCAUUCUUUGUCAAAGAUUGAGCUUUGCUUGUCUUGGUUUAAUGUCACUAUCAUGCACAUACCUACUGGAGUUGCAUAUUUUGUACUUUAAUGGUAGGCUGAGCAAGCAGAAAAAUCAUAUUUAAUAAGAAAAUUAAUUAACUUUUUUAUGAGCAUGGUAUUGCGAUUGAAAGUUUUGAAAUUUUGUAAUGUAAUUGGUUGGCUCUUUUAAUUUGCAUGUCCUGUUUCUCUGACCAAUUUGGCUGUGCACACUGCCUGCCUUAAUAGGGGACUAGCUUCUGAAUUUGAGUGGCUAGAUUACUGAUCCUCUUCAUACCUAGUUCAGAAAACAAGUUAUUCUUGUACUUUUGUUUUAUAUGUGCGCAUGAAUGUUAUUAACAUUGCUUUGCAUCAUGUGACAAUAUGUCUUAUACCUGAGAAACUUGUCAUAUAGGCAGCUAGUGAUUGAGGUUGUCUGGAUUUGAGUUUUAGAAGGGGAGGUUGCUCAGAUGCUUGGUGUUUCUUUGAAUGAUUAUAUGUGGGAACAUUCUUCAAUCUACUUUGUUUUGUGUUUAGUGUUUCUUGAAAUCAAGCCUAUGGCGGUGUAGCUACUGUGUGAAUGCCAAAUUCAUUUUGAGGGGUAUUUUGAAUUUUGAUAGAAUAAGGGUUCCCUGCAAAAGUUCUUCAUGGGCUCAAGAGUUGCUUACUGAUAUUUCUGGAUGUCUGGUGGGAAUAUUUAAUAUUAGUUUUAAUUCUAAAAAUUGUAUCCAUUUCAGAUCUUGGAUUUGCUAGUGGCAA